rnacentral:rRNA from 1 species
CACUCCUACGGGAGGCAGCAGUGGGGAAUAUUGGACCAUGGGCGCAAGCCUGAUCCAGCCAUGCCGCGUGAGUGAUGAAGGCCCUAGGGUUGUAAAGCUCUUUCACCGGUGAAGAUAAUGACGGUAACCGGAGAAGAAGCCCCGGCUAACUUCGUGCCAGCAGCCGCGGUAAUACGAAGGGGGCUAGCGUUGUUCGGAUUUACUGGGCGUAAAGCGCACGUAGGCGGACUAUUAAGUCAGGGGUGAAAUCCCGGGGCUCAACCCCGGAACUGCCUUUGAUACUGGUAGUCUUGAGUUCGAGAGCGGUGAGUGGAAUUCCGAGUGUAGAGGUGAAAUUCGUAGAUAUUCGGAGGAACACCAGUGGCGAAGGCGGCUCACUGGCUCGAUACUGACGCUGAGGUGCGAAAGCGUGGGGAGCAAACAGGAUUAGAUACCCCUGUAGUCCC